rnacentral:rRNA from 1 species
GUGAGGAAUAUUGGUCAAUGGACGGAAGUCUGAACCAGCCAUGCCGCGUGCAGGAAUAAGGUCCUAUGGAUUGUAAACUGCUUUUAUUCGGGAAUAAACCUCUUUACGUGUAGGGAGCUGAAGGUACCGAAGGAAUAAGCACCGGCUAACUCCGUGCCAGCAGCCGCGGUAAUACGGAGGGUGCAAGCGUUAUCCGGAAUCAUUGGGUUUAAAGGGUCCGCAGGCGGGCUAUCAAGUCAGAGGUGAAAUCCCACAGCUUAACUGUGGAACUGCCUUUGAAACUGAUGGUCUUGAAUUAAGUGGGCGUUGGCGGAAUAUGACAUGUAGCGGUGAAAUGCAUAGAUAUGUCAUGGAACACCGAAAGCGAAGGCAGCUAACGAUACUUAUAUUGACGCUCAUGGACGAAAGCGUGGGUAGCGAACAGGAUUAGAUACCCCAGUAGUCC